rnacentral:rRNA from 1 species
GAUGAACGCUGGCGGCGUGCCUAAUACAUGCAAGUCGAGCGAACAGACGAGGAGCUUGCUCCUCUGACGUUAGCGGCGGACGGGUGAGUAACACGUGGAUAACCUACCUAUAAGACUGGGAUAACUUCGGGAAACCGGAGCUAAUACCGGAUAAUAUAUUGAACCGCAUGGUUCAAUAGUGAAAGACGGUUUUGCUGUCACUUAUAGAUGGAUCCGCGCCGCAUUAGCUAGUUGGUAAGGUAACGGCUUACCAAGGCAACGAUGCGUAGCCGACCUGAGAGGGGGAUCGGCCACACUGGAACUGAGACACGGUCCAGACUCCUAAGGGAGGCAGCAGUAGGGAAUCUUCCGCAAAGGGCGAAAGCUUGACGGAGCAACGCCGCGUGAGUGAUGAAGGUCUUCGGAUCGUAAAACUCUGUUAUUAGGGAAGAACAAAUGUGUAAGUAACUAUGCACGUCUUGACGGUACCUAAUCAGAAAGCCACGGCUAACUACGUG